rnacentral:lncRNA from 1 species
UCUGUGACACACAAUAAUUUAACAUAACAAUUAUAAUUAUUACUGAUAACAUAUACUGAGGCAUAUCAAAAUUAUAGGACUCUUAUAAUCUUAUACAAUUUUGUAAUACAUACUAAUAACACAUUUAUAUAAAUGUAACCCAAAGAAAAUUAAACACUAUAUUUGACAAUGUUUACCGCAUGAUUUUAGUACUUUAAAUAAGCUGAAUAUGUCUUUUUGGACUUUAGGCAACUUAAUUUUUUUUUUAACUUAGAAUUUGAUCUUGAGAGGUCUGUCAAAUAUCAAAGGUUUAAAAACACUGGAUAUCAGAAAAUAGAGUCCCAGGUCACUAUAAGUUAUUCAAUAGCCAAAAUGAUAACUCUAAAAUUUUAAAGAAAAACCGUUACUCUGAUAAGAGACUUAACUUUCCAAACAACCAGACCCAAUGAAGAUAGCAUGAGUCCCACUGAAGGAAGACUUUAUUAAAGACUGUUGAGAUAGGGAAGAGAGAUUGGGCUCAACUCUGAAUUCAGCAAAGACAACUGGGGAUUUCUGGCCAUUGAACAGAGUGAGAGGUCAUUGGAUGGAAAAUUACAAAAAAGAGACAGCAAGGGUAGGCAGAUUCUUACUAGACCAACUGCUGUAGUCUGCAUGUUGGUGUCCCCCACAAAUUCAGAUGUUGAAACCUAACCACCAGUGCAAUAGUAUUAAGAGGUAGGGUCUCAGUAGUAGUAAGAGGUGGGAAGUGAUUAAGUAAUGAGGGCUCUGUCCUAAUGAAUGUGAUUUUUGCCCUUAACAAGAAGUUGAGAGAAGUAGUCCUUGUCCCUUCUGCCAUGUGAGGACACAGACUUGACCCUUUUCCCUUAUAAGGUCACAUAGAAGGCACCAUCUGUGAAGAACAGGCCUUCACCAGACACUGAAUCUGCUGGUGCUUUGCUGUUGGACUUCCUAGCCUCUACAGUUGUGAGAAAUAAUGUCUGUUGUUUAUAAAUUUCUCAAACUAACAUGUUUUGUUUUAGCAGCUUGUAUGGACUUAGAUGGAAAUUGAUAGCAAGAAGUGGGGUGCUGCUGUAAAACAAUACCUAAAAAUGUAGAAGUGGCUUUGGAAUUGUAUAAUUAGCAGAAGCAGGAAGAACACUGAGGUGCACAUUAGAAAAAGCUUGUAUUGCUAUUGUUGGGUCAUAGAAGGCGAUUCUCAUAAGGGCUCAGAAGAAGAGAACUGUAGAAAAAGCCUCAAUCUUCUAAGACAUUACUUAAGUGGUUAUACUCAGAAUGUUGGUAGAAAUAUGGUCAAUAAAGGCAAUUCUGAUGAGGUAUCAGAAAUGAGGGGCAUGUUAUUAGAAACAGGAGGAAAGGCCAUCCUUGUUAUAAAGUGGCAAAGACCUCAGCUGAAUUGUGUUGGGUCCUAAUGUUUUGUGAAAGGAGGAACUUAACAAGUAAUGAAAGAGGGUAUUUGACAGAAGAAAUCUUUAAGCAAAGUGCAGCAUGGCUUCUCCUGAUUGCCUAUAGUAAACUGCCAGGAGGGAAACAGAUUAAAGACAGAAUGUAUAAUCAAUUAUUUAUAUCAAUUAUGAAGAAAAGCCUCAGUCACUUCACAAUGGGGAAACAUAGCAGACAGCACCUUUCAAAGGAACCAAACAUCACCAGUAAAGGGACAAAGAGUCACCAGCUGCCUCAUGAUAUGAAGCACUGAGAAGCACACAUCACUUCUACUUCCAGGGGGUUCCUGCCAAGAAUGCAGAACCCAAAUGGAAUUCCGAGAAAUCAUCACACAAAUCCAAACAGAAGGGCUUUCUACAAAAUAACUGGCCUGUAUCCUUCAAAAACGUCAAGGUCAUGAAAGACAAAGAAAUAUGAGAAACUGUGGCAGCUUAAGGGAAACUAAAGAGACGUAGCAACUAAGUGCAAUGUGUGAUUCUGGACUCAAUCAUGAAACAGAACAAAAAAUUAAAAGUAUUUUCUUUUUGUUUUUAAAUGGAGUCUUGCUCUAUCGACGGGCUGGAGUGCAGUGGUGUGAUCUCGGCUCACUGCAAGCUCUGUCUCCUGGGUUCACGCCAUUCUCCUGCCUCAGCCUCCCGAGUAGCUGGGACUACAGGCGCCUGCCACCACGCCCAGCUAAUUUUUUUGUAUUUUUUAGUAGAGAUGGGGUUUCACCCUGUUAGCCGGGAUGGUCUCAAUCUCCUGACCUCGUGAUCCACCCGCCUCGGCCUCCCAAGUGCUGGGAUUACAGGCAUGAGCCACUGCGCCCGGCCAAAAGUAUUUUCUAGGAGGAAUAGUAAUGAGACAAUUAGCAAAAUGUGGAAAAUGUCUGUAUGUUCAAUAGUAGUGUUUUAUAAACGUCAGUUCUCUGAUUUUGAUCAUUAUAGUGUGGUUACUUACCAGAAUGCCUCAUUUUAGGAUAAUACACACUGAGGUAUUUAGGGGUAGGUGACAUCAUGCUUAUAACUUCCUCCCAAAUAUUUUAAGGAAAAAUAUAUGCACACGGACAUACAUUCAUAUAUGCAAUAUGAUAAUGAAGAAGCAAUGGUGACAUUUGGAUCUGGGUGAAUGGCUUAUGGGAAUUCAUUUUUGUACUGUUUUGUACAUUUUGUACUAUUCUUGUGCUUUUGCUAUAAGUCUGAAAUUCUUUUAAAAUAAGAAGGAAAUACAAUUAUGGCAGGAAAAUAGCUGACUGGGCCACAUUAUUAGCCCUAAUGGUCCUCACCUCUCAGAGUGGAAGGCAAAUACUGGUGACUGUUGAGUCACAGCCUCACGUGUCCAGCACCGUUGUAACCAACUAGACUAUGUUUGCUUAUGCACAUGGCAACAGAAAAUAAGGAGUCCAAGAAUAUGCAACCCAGAAAUCAAACUUAACCAUUGAAUAUAGCUGGCUUAGUCGGAUCAGGGCUACUAUAACAAAAUCUAAAAUGGGUGGCUUGGCCAGGCAUGGUGGCUCAUACUUGUAAUCCCAGCACUUUGGGAGACCAAGGCAGGCAGAUCACCAGGUCAAGACAUUGAGACCAUUCUGGCCAAAAUGGUGAAACCCCAUCUCUACUAAAAAUAGAAAAAUGAGCUGGGCGUGGUGGCGCAUGCCUGUAGUCCCGGCUACUUGGGAGUCUGAAGCAGAAGAAUCGCCU